UAGCUCAGUUGGUAGACCAUGGUGUUUGCAACGCCAGGGUUGUGGGUUCGAUUCCCAC
rfam:Salmo salar isolate Sally breed double haploid chromosome ssa12, whole genome shotgun sequence.